rnacentral:lncRNA from 12 species
CUUUUCAUUAAUGCUUUCUUCCUCUGCAAGAUCUUGGAACUAAUAACUGUGACUAAAAUGAAUCUGCCCUCUGGCAAGCCAGGCCCGUGUGGCAGCUGGUCUUCUCAGGGGCUCUGGCUCUACAUCUCGAAGUCAUCUACCGGCUCACUAAACGGUCCCAAGUCAUCCAAGGCGUCCGGCUCCUCCUCCUCUUCAUGGUGCCUGUGUCUCCUGAAGGACCGGCGCUUGACAGCCGAGUGGCGGCGUCUCGCAACCCGGCGCCUCCGCCGCGUGCUGCGGCGGCGGGAGCGGCUGUGGCCGGUGCGCCGCGUCUUGCGCAGGCGCCUGUGGCUCCGGCUCCUGCUCCGGCUCCUGCGGCGUCUGGCCCGCCGAUUGUAACCAGCCAUGGUGGUGGUGGUGCUCGCUGAGCGCUGCGAGCCACUGCCCUGCUUUUAUAGGGCUGCCGGGGUGCAGCCCUUUGUGAUGCAAGCCGUUUUCAG